AACCACCAAAACCUUAUCUCUUUCCUUUUAUCUUCCUCAUAACAACUUCUUCAUUUUCUCCAUCUUUCUCAUAACAACUUCUUCAUCUUCUUCAUAACAACUUCUUCAUCUUCAUUCAAUUUCACCAUUAACAACCUUACAAAGUUUCAAGAUGUGGCACGACACGAGAGUGGCUACGGAUAAUGAAAUACAUGUUUUGUUGAUGACGUUGAUGCCGAAGUUUUUUAGCGAGUUAGGUAUUCCAUUAGUUUAGCUUAUGUGUAGUUUGUUAUGUAUUCACAAAUGAUUGUAAUUUGACGGGUUUAUUUCUGAAUUGGAUGUGGGGUUUAUUUUGGAUU